UUUUUGGUAUUCAAAAAAUACAAAAAUAUUUUCUCAACCUCUUUGAAUGAUGAUAGAUCUAUGAAAAAUAUUCUCAUCAAUUUAUUAAUUGAUUUGAGAUUUAUUUGAGAUUUUAGUUCAAUUAGGUUUUUUUAUGCAUUUUUAAUUGAUUAAAAAUAGUUUCUGACUUUUAAAAAUGCUAAAAAAAAUUGUCAAACUUUGUUUGACCUUGUU
rnacentral:lncRNA from 1 species